UACGGGGGGGGCAAGCGUUGUUCGGAAUUACUGGGCGUAAAGGGUUCGUAGGUGGCUUGCUAAGUCACACGUGAAAUCCCUCAGCUUAACUGGGGAACUGCGUGUGAAACUGGCGAGCUUGAGGGUAGGAGAGGAAUGCGGAAUUCCAGGUGUAGCGGUGAAAUGCGUAGAUAUCUGGAGGAACACCGGUGGCGAAGGCGGCAUUCUGGACUAUUUCUGACACUGAUGAACGAAAGCCAGGGGAGCAAACGGG
rnacentral:rRNA from 1 species